UCGGGAAUUUUGUGCAAUGGGCGAAAGCCUGACACAGCAACGCCGCGUGAAGGAUGAAGUCCCUCGGGAUGUAAACUUCGUAAGAAUAGGAAGAAUAAAUGACGGUACUAUUUGUAAGGUCCGGCUAACUACGUGCCAGCAGCCGCGGUAAUACGUAGGGACCAAGCGUUGUUCGGAUUUACUGGGCGUAAAGGGUGCGUAGGCGGCAUAUCAAGUCACUUGUGAAAUCUCCGGGCUUAACUCGGAACUGCCAAGUGAUACUGAUGUGCUAGAGUGCAGAAAGGGCAACUGGAAUUCUUGGUGUAGCGGUGAAAUGCGUAGAUAUCAAGAGGAACACCUGAGGCGAAGGCGAGUUGCUAGGCUGACACUGACGCUGAGGUGCGAAAGCUAGGGGAGCGAACGGGAUUAGAUACCCCAGUAGUCCCUGAGCGGGCUGGCAAGGCGCAU
rnacentral:rRNA from 1 species